rnacentral:rRNA from 1 species
AUUGAACGCUGGCGGCAUGCCUUACACAUGCAAGUCGAACGGCAGCACGGACUUCGGUCUGGUGGCGAGUGGCGAACGGGUGAGUAAUACAUCGGAACGUGCCCAGUAGUGGGGGAUAACUAUUCGAAAGAGUAGCUAAUACCGCAUACGACCUACGGGUGAAAGUGGGGGAUCGCAAGACCUCAUGCUAUUGGAGCGGCCGAUGUCAGAUUAGCUAGUUGGUGAGGUAAAAGCUCACCAAGGCGACGAUCUGUAGCUGGUCUGAGAGGACGACCAGCCACACUGGGACUGAGACACGGCCCAGACUCCUACGGGAGGCAGCAGUGGGGAAUUUUGGACAAUGGGCGCAAGCCUGAUCCAGCCAUUCCGCGUGCAGGAUGAAGGCCUUCGGGUUGUAAAGCACUUUUGUUGGGAAAGAAAAGCGGUCGGUUAAUACCCGGUCGUUCUGACGGUACCCAAAGAAUAAGCACCGGCUAACUUCGUGCCAGCCGCCGCGGUAA